GCAGUCGCCGCGGGAAUACAGAGGGUGCGAGCGUUAAUCGGAUUUACUGGGCGUAAAGCGUGCGUAGGCGGCUAAUUGAGUCGGAUGUGAAAUCCCCGAGCUUAACUUGGGAAUUGCAUUCGAUACUGGUUAGCUAGAGUGUGGGAGAGGAUGGUAGAAUUCCAGGUGUAGCGGUGAAAUGCGUAGAGAUCUGGAGGAAUACCGAUGGCGAAGGCAGCCAUCUGGCCUAACACUGACGCUGAGGUACGAAAGCAUGGGGAGCAAACAGGAUUAGAUACCCCUGUAGUCCCUGUCUCUUAUAC
rnacentral:rRNA from 1 species